rnacentral:lncRNA from 1 species
UGAGUUAAGCCUUCCAAUUGAUAUUUUAUCGUGUGUUUUUCUAUGUUGUGAUGUUAUACUAUUGUUUCAGAAAAAGGGAAAAGGUUUGGUACCAUUAAAACGUUUAAUCCCGCUGCAAAUGUUUGCACCUGUCCUAAGUCAGGAAUCUGAUGUACAGUAGUUGUCAUUUGUUUAUGUAACUUAUACAUGUUUCUCGUUUUUUUAUAUAGAUUAGACCGUUGGUUUUCCCGUUUGAAUGGUUUUACACGUCUAGUAAUUUUGGAGCCCUUUAUAGCUUGUUGUUCGGUGUGAGCCAAGGCUCCGUGUUGAAGGCCGUACAUUGACCUAUAAUGGUUUACUUUUAUAAAUUGUUAUUUGGAUUGAGAGUUGUCUCAUUGGCACUAAUACCACAUCUUCCUAUAUCUAUCAAAUUAUCAUUUUUUUUACUUUCAUAUUCCUUGCCAGAUGAAAUAAUUUUGCUUUUAAACACAGAGGAUGGUCUUAAAG